UUGAGGGCUCUUGUGGGACACACAGCACCUUACCUUCACACAGCUGCACAAUAGCUCCUGCUGUUCCCCUCGGGUCCUGGCCUUUGGAGGUGCCCGUCCAUCCCUCACACUUCUUUCCUUCUCCCUCCCCAUAAGUCCUUUACAAGAGCACAUUUCUUACCUGUCCAUUGCUAAGGUCCACCAGCCCUGGCCUGGAUCGCACAGUAAGCCCCACCUGGCCUCCCUCCCUGCUUCCUCAAUCACUCCUGGAAGCAAGCUAAGAUGUCAAAUGAUGUGACUCUCUGGAAAUCACGGCUCCCCACAGCCCUGUGGGUAAGCAUCCACUGUUUAUCAUGGCCUAGGAGGCACUCUGUGAUCCGCCUCCUGAUCUGGCCUCACCACAGACCACAAGACUCAUGUGUUUACUGCAGCAGCCAUGCCACACGGGUCUCCUGCUUACCACACGCACUGGGCCCUCUGUCUCUAGUACUUCCCUUGCCUAGAGAACACUCUUUUCUCCUACUCUCUGGUCAAAUGCCACCCCCACAAAGUGGCCCUCCCUCCCAGCCACCAAGAGGGGCACUACUUUUGUUACCUUUUUUAAAAAAAAAAAAAAAA
rnacentral:lncRNA from 1 species